rnacentral:lncRNA from 1 species
UCCCGGCCAGCCGGAAAGUCGCCGCCGUCGUUCGUUGUACAGUUGCUGCACGCACGCACGCAGGCAGUGCCCAGUAAUCCACACACAGAAAACACCAUCGAUCCAGUACUCUCCCAGCGCAGCCCGUCCCGUCUCAUCCUCUUGGCUCGCCGCCGUCGUCUAAGCUCAAGGGUAGAUCGUUCUGGGGAUGAUGAUGUCGCCGAUGUUGUUGUGCCACGGGUCGGCGAGGUGGGUGGCCAGGUUCUCCAGCGGCCCCGUGCCGGGGUACGCCGACUGCUGCACGCAGAACCCCACGAACGCCAACAUCGCCAGCCGGCCUGCUCAUGCACGACGCCCAGAUAAUUCGCUAGUGUUCGCGGCACAUCAGGUGCUUAUUGGUUUCAGUACAAUGAAGAUCGAGGCCGGGAGGCUCGCUUACCGUUCUUGAUCUCCUUGAGCUUGUACUCCUCGAACUUGACGGGGUCCUUGGAGAAGCCGAGCGGGUCGAAGGCGCCGCCGGGGUACUUCUUCUUCUCGGGGUCCUUCUCCAUGGUGCGCUGGUGCUCGGCGAAGGCGAUGGCCACGAACUCGAUCACCAGGAUGGUGGGCAGCGAGCCCCACGGCACCGGGUUGCCCAGGUACGUGGCCUGGCCGCCGGGGACGGCCGCCCACUCCUGCGCCUUCACCCAGUUGCCAAGGCCCAGCGCCUCCGGCACCAAGAUCCCGGGCUGCGCAACCCAAACAAACAAUUGCAGAGGUCAGCUAGCUGGUCCGUGCCACGGCGUCACCAUGUUAGCAAGUAAUCAGCUGGGCGGCGUACCACGGCGAGCAUGGCCCAGCGGCAGUGGUAGACCUCGGACUCCUUGAACCGCUCGAAGUUCUCCGGCACGGUGGCGAGGCCGAGGGGGUCGAAGCCGAAGUCCCUGGGUAAAUUAAAGGCAUCGUCAGGUCAGAGAAUCUGCAGAGCACGCCGCUCCUCGACGCCGCCGCCGCUAGCUUACCCGGGGGAGGAGCCGUCGAGGUGGGCGGGGCGGGGCUGGCCGGGCAUCCACUCGGCGGACAUGGUGACGCGGCCGGAGGUGGUGGCGUUGGCGCAGAACGGCAGCCGGCCGGAGCGCGACGACGGCGCCAGCAGGCUGGGCACGCCCACGGCGCUGCAGCUCCGGAGCCCGCUCGACG